rnacentral:rRNA from 1 species
GACGAACGCUGGCGGCGCGCCUAACACAUGCAAGUCGAACGGAGCUUAGAGAGCUUGCUUUUUAAGCUUAGUGGCGAACGGGUGAGUAACGCGUGAGUAACCUGCCCUAGAGUGGGGGACAACAGUUGGAAACGACUGCUAAUACCGCAUAAGCCCACGGUACCGCAUGGUACUGAGGGAAAAGGAUUUAUUCGCUUUAGGAUGGACUCGCGUCCAAUUAGCUAGUUGGUGAGGUAAUGGCCCACCAAGGCGACGAUUGGUAGCCGGACUGAGAGGUUGAACGGCCACAUUGGGACUGAGACACGGCCCAGACUCCUACGGGAGGCAGCAGUGGGGGAUAUUGCACAAUGGGGGAAACCCUGAUGCAGCGACGCCGCGUGGAGGAAGAAGGUUUUCGGAUUGUAAACUCCUGUCGUUAGGGACGAUAAUGACGGUACCUAACAAGAAAGCAC